rnacentral:lncRNA from 1 species
CUCAAAAUCACAAAUAAUAAAAAUUACACAAGAUUCCUCCGAAUCUCUAGACUUCCCUCUUCCCCUCCUUGGGUUCUUUAGUUAAACUUUUCAACUGCAAGUCCUCCUAAUUUUAGAAUCCUCCAUUGUAUCCAAAGACUGUGUAAUAUUACAAGAGUUAUUUAAGACCUGCCAAAAAGUUCAAGUAUUUACAGUGGUCUGUCAAAAAUAAAAUAAAUUUCUCCCAUUCUUUCUUGAAGUUUUGAUCCUCCUGCUUUCUGAUUUUCCCAGUCAUUCUUGCCAUCUCUGCACAGUCCAUUAGUUUCGUCUGCCAGUCCACUCUGGUAGGGACCUUGUCGUCUUUCCAGCUCUAGGCAAGCAGCAUCCUUGCAGCUGUUGUAGCAUAAAUAAACAGUCAGGUAUGUCUCGAAUCUCAUUCUGGUUCUCACUUCUUAACUGUUCAUCCUUACUCUGGUUUCUCUUCAGAUCAUAUAAACCUUAACUGUACAGUACCUCUGUUUGCAUCAUCACCUUCCCAUUUGCUCCUGAAACAGAUCCUGCAUUAACUCUCUCCAAACCCAAACUCCUUUGUGACCGGCAAGGACCUCUCCAAACCCAAACUCCUUUGUGACCGGCAAGGACCUUCCAGUGUACUAUUAUCCUUUGUUUCUGUUCUCCUCACUCAUUUCUUUUUUAAAAAAUAUAUUUUUAUUAAAGAUUUCUUGGUUUACAAAAGUAUGUGCAAUGUCUCUUUUUUUCAAGUUACAUUUUCUACAGAUCAGUUUCAUUUGUCAAGACAUUAGUGUUACGUUAGGAAGAAAAGGGGGAAAGAGGGAGAAAGAGGCGAGCGGUGAGUGAGGUGGCAAUACUUCUAUUCUACUUAGUGUAUGUGUGGGGUUUUGCGUCAGCCUCACUUGUGUGGGUUCUCUUUACUAUUCGCUUGUUGUAUUUCUUUGGUGGUGAGAGAGGCUGGGGUUGGUCUAGGGUGUGGUUGGUUGUCUUUGAUUGGCUGCGGUGAGCUUUGUUUUUGGGUGUGGGGUAUGUGUGUGUGUGUUUGGAUCAGGUUAGCCAGAUUGAUUCGAAUGCUGUUGGUGGGUUCUUCUUGUUGUCUUGAUGGGCUGUGUAUGUGAUAAAGGGUAACCAUAUCGGGGUGAAGGUGUCUUCUUCUAUUUGUCCCUGUGUCAGUUUCAGUUUGUUGGUUAGUUUUUCUAAUAAGGCUGUUUCCCAUACUACAGUGGUACCUCGGGUUACAGACACUUCAGGUUACAGACGCUUCAGGUUACAGACUCCGCUAACCCAGAAAUAGUACCUCGGGUUAAGAACUGUGCUUCAGGAUGAGAACAGAAAUUGCGCAGUGGCGGUGCGGUGGCAGUGGGAGGCCCCAUUAGCUAAAGUGGUACCUCAGGUUAAGAACAGACCUCCAGAACGAAUUAAGUUCUUAACCCGAGGUACGAUUGUAUUUGAUACCAUUGGUCUAUGCUUACUCCUGACAGGCCCCUCCAGUAUAAGGUUACCAGACAUCCCCGUUUCCCGGGGACAGUCCCCAGAUUUACAAAUCAGUCCCCUGACAAAAUCCAUCUAUUUAGUAGGAAGUUGAAAAGUGUCCCCGGAUUCAUUGAAAAAAAUCUGGUAACCUUAAUCCAGUAGACAUAAUCAAAAAACAAUGGGAGGAUGACAUAGGCUAUGAGAUUAAUCCUUACUCAUUUCUGAUGCCAUCAGGCCCAGUGCUUGCCCACUUCUUUUCUCUAUAAACCUGACUGAUAAAUCCAGAACCAUGUUCCCAGUCAUUAUUCAAAAGUAAUCACCCUGAAAAAUGUGGUGUUUUACUGAGUUGAUAGCAAACAUCUUACUUUUAGAGAAGGGGAUAAAUGAUUCAGAAAAGAAAAUACACGAGCAUAUCACUAGGACAAUCUCGUCCCAUUUCUUGUUGUUGAAUACUUUGUUAAUAAAAGUUAAUCAUGGUUUAAAAUCUGAUACAUAUUCUGAUCAAGUUGCAAGUCUCAUUUUAACGGCUUGGCAGGAUCUGGUGCCUCUAAGUGCUAUAUAAUUAUAUACAAAGCAUUCAUGUCCAUUGCUGGCUUCUAAUGACAAGAGAAAAACAUCUAAAUAAGAAGAAAGGAAGCCUGCACACUGUGCGUU